rnacentral:tRNA from 1 species
GACUUGAAAUCGUGAGGGGUCAAGUCCCUCUAUCCCC